rnacentral:rRNA from 1 species
GACGAACGCUGGCGGCGUGCUUAACACAUGCAAGUCGAACGGAAAGGCCCUGCUUUUGUGGGGUGCUCGAGUGGCGAACGGGUGAGUAACACGUGAGUAACCUGCCCUUGACUUUGGGAUAACUUCAGGAAACUGGGGCUAAUACCGGAUAGGAGCUCCUGCUGCAUGGUGGGGGUUGGAAAGUUUCGGCGGUUGGGGAUGGACUCGCGGCUUAUCAGCUUGUUGGUGGGGUAGUGGCUUACCAAGGCUUUGACGGGUAGCCGGCCUGAGAGGGUGACCGGCCACAUUGGGACUGAGAUACGGCCCAGACUCCUACGGGAGGCAGCAGUGGGAAAUAUUGCACAAUGGGCGGAAGCCUGAUGCAGCAACGCCGCGUGCGGGAUGACGGCCUUCGGGUUGUAAACCGCUUUCGCCUGUGACGAAGCGUGAGUGACGGUAAUGGGGAAAGAAGCACCGGCUAACUACGU